rnacentral:lncRNA from 1 species
GUGAGGGACGAGAAGAAGAGCAGAGCCAAGAAAAGUUGGGGAGAGCUGCCCCAGCGGGCAAUAGGCCUAGGGUCCUGAAGAUGCCGCUCGAGAAACUAUCACCGGAGCCUCGGCCCUCGGAGCGGUGAGAGAUCACUUGGGCCCCAUCAAGGAGCACCUGCCCCAAGGCGCUCUUAGAGCAUUGCCAGUCCCUUUCCUCCCACAGGGACACUGGGCCUGGGCCCAGAAAAGGUGGGCUGAGCCCCACCCCUUGCCUCGACAGAAGGGUGGCCCUUGGAGGGCCCAAGAGCCAGACUCUGGUCUAUGAAGAAGGAGCCCCCUGUGGCAUGCCGGAGCAGCAGCCAGAUCUACACGGGAGGAAAACAAGCCUACCACACCCCCACUCGGGACAACCACAAGUUCAGGGAAUAGGGGCUUUGCAAGUGAGGGGCCAGAGAAAAGGGACCCCCAACCCCCCUCCUUUCAGAGAACUGGAUGAGAGCAUGCCCUGCAAAAUGGGGAGUUGCACCUAAUAUUUUGUAAACUGGUUGUACUGUGUGAGUUAUGUUAUAUUUUAGCAGGUAAAUAAUUUUAAGGUUGUUAUUUUCUUUUAGACUCUAUUUUUCUUGUUGCUUAAUUUCCCAUUAUAUUGGGAAUCUGGUACUUACUUGCUGGAGGCCCACCUGGGAUUGCUCUGUGGACCUCCUGGCUUACCUUAAGGAUCUCGGGGUCCUGGCCUUCAAACUGGCUGAUCCAUGCCAAAAAUGGGGUAGCUGAAGAUACCGUGACACAUGACCGUGAGAGAAGCACAGCGUCACACGGCUCUUUGAAAGCUCUCCUCUCAGAGACUCAGUUCUGCUGCACCACAUCAAAUAACAGCCGGCGUAAGUUGUGUCAGAUACAGGGAGGUCCAGGCAACUAUGACCGUCAGCAGGAUGCCAAACAAACCGGCAGCACCGUUACGGUCACUAAAAAAAUACCCACCGCACACAACCACUCCAACCAGCCAGGCAGACUCGAACCCAGGCAGGGAUUAGCAUCCAUUCUUAAGGCCACUGCAGCCCUUUGCUCGGAGGGGAUGAGAGGGGACUGGCUGGUGACCCCUAUCAGGGCUCAUCCGUGAUCAUCCACCCUGGCGAUCGUCAGAAAACAUCAUGAUGCCUAUCUUUCCUACCCACGUGCAGGGGGCCUGGACCUGAUGAUCUGUAAGGUCCCUGACUAUGAAACUAGACCUUCAGCAGGAAAGGCUGCUCGAGCUAAAGUGGGUUUUCAUCCUUUCUGGCAUGACUGCUAGAGGGUAACAAUACAACCCGCGAGUGGCAGGAACAUGCAACGUUGGGUGCGCAAGAAAACUGCGUAGUAUCAACCCAGCUCCCCUCCAGUUCCUGUGGGGAUGGAUGGUGGGGCAAGACUAUGGAGAAUAAGAACAGCAGAGUUUCUCUGACCCAGUAACUCUGAAGCAGUCAGUCAGCCUGGCCACGUCCACACGAGAC